rnacentral:lncRNA from 1 species
AUUAUAUCUAUCGAAUUUGAUUUUGAUUGUAAAACAUUAAUUAUCAUAUAUAAGGUGUGGCAUAUGAAAUAUACAUGUAUACACCAAAUUAAAUACCAGAUGCAAUCAUGCAGGCAAUAAUUUGGGUGCAUUUGUUUCACUGAAAGUAGAGAAGUGUGAAAUAGUUUUAACCAGCAAGUAUUCAGUUUCAUUGAUUCAUCGUAACUUCACCUGCGGUCGAAAAAAAACUUAAAUAAUGUAAUUGAUUUCUGCCCACCCCGAGCUGAAUAUUAUGAAAAAAAAUUAAUUAUUAAUCCAUUUCACAAACCUCCUAUUUUUGCGUCAUUUUUUUUUCCAUGAAACACAAUAAAAAUAGAAGAAGUUCAGUUUCACAGCAAUACAAAUUAAUAAAUAGUAAAAAAAAAAAUUAUUUGAUCUCUUGUUCAUCCGAAAGUCUACUUCAAUACGAACUUUACCUUCGGUGGAAUAAAGCAUAUAUUAAUACGUCAAAAUGUAAGAGGACAGUGUUUUCAAGAACAUAUCUUAACUUUCUUUCAUAAAUCAUAUUGAAUGAAAAAAUAAAAAUUAAAACUAAAAGAAAGAAGCUUAGGGGCUGUUUGGUUCUACGUAAAAUUGGGAAAAAAAAAUUCAUGAAAUUUUUUUUUACGAUUUUUAGUGUUUGGUUUGUAGGAAAGAAAAAAAUUAGUUUUCAGUCACACUUGUUUGGUUGAAAGAAAAAAAGUAAAUAAUUUUUUUAUUUAUAUAUUUUAUAUAUUAUUUAUUUAUAAUAAUUAUUAAGCUAUAGAUAUUAUUAUUAUAACUUAUAUUUAUAAAUUAAAUAUAUCAAAAUUAUAUAAUAUGAUAAAUUGAUAAGCAUAAUAUGUGUAAUAGUAUGCAUAUAAUACUAUAUAAAAAAAAUAUAAAAUAAUUUUUUAUCCUCUCUUAUAUACCAUAUAUAUAUAUAUAUAU